rnacentral:sRNA from 1 species
CGCCUGCGAGAGCGCCUGUCCGCGAUUCAGCGACUGUGACCGCUGGUUGUGCCGGUGGUUGUGGUAGCGACUCGAUCGCUCGAUUUGACCCAGAGGGCGACACACACGGACACCUGUUUGUUGUUUCCUAUGAAUCGGUUUUGGCCAUUCAGUUGCCGGCUUCAAAGCGAUACGAAUUGCGGUUUACGGAUCGGGGCUGACGAGGUCUUGAAAUAGCCAAAACAACAUCACAAAUGCACGCCGCAAACUCAACUGACUGGCACUCGCAAGAAAAUCGA